rnacentral:rRNA from 1 species
CGUGUAGGCGGCUUAGCAAGUCGGGUGUGAAAGCCCUCGGCUCAACCGAGGAAGUGCGCCCGAAACUGCUGAUCUUGAGUACCGGAGAGGAUGGCGGAAUUCCCCAAGUAGAGGUGAAAUUCGUAGAUAUGGGGAGGAACACCGGUGGCGAAGGCGGCCAUCUGGACGGAUACUGACGCUGAGACGCGAAAGCGUGGGGAGCAAACAGGAUUAGAUACCCUGGUAGUCCACGCCGUAAACGAUGAGAACUAGGUGUCGUGGGUGUUGACCCCCGCGGUGCCGUAGCCAACGCAUUAAGUUCUCCGCCUGGGAAGUACGGCCGCAAGGCUAAAA